ACUGUGUAUAUAAUGCAGUGUGUGUGUUUGUAUAGUGUGUGUAUAUAAUGCACACAAACACACACACUGCAUUAUAUACACACUAU
rnacentral:pre_miRNA from 1 species